UACCUGGUUGAUCCUGCCAGUAGUCAUAUGCUUGUCUCAAAGAUUAAGCCAUGCAUGUCUCAGUAUAAGCUUCUAUAUGGUGCAACUGUGAAUGGCUCAUUAAAACAGUUAUAGUUUAUUUGAUGGUGAAAUUCUACAUGGAUAACUGUGGUAAUUCUAGAGCUAAUACAUGCGUACAAACCCGACUCACGAAGGGUUGUGUUUAUUAGAUAUCGAAUCAAUCCAGCUCUGCUGGACCUCCAGAUGAUUCAUGAUAGCGGUACAGACCAUCUUCAGAUGGUAGAUCAUUCAAGUUUCUGACCUAUCAGCUUUCGACGGUAGGGUAUUGGCCUACCGUGGCAUUGACGGGUAACGGAGAAUUAGGGUUCGAUUCCGGAGAGGGAGCCUGACAAACGGCUACCACAUCUAAGGAAGGCAGCAGGCACGUAAAUUGCCCAAUCCUGACACAGGGAGGCAGUGACAAGAAAUACCAUUAGCUGGCCAAUCGGUCAGUUAAAUGGAAUGGGCAGACCCCAGAGAAUUCUGCGAGUAUCUAUUGGAGGGCAAGUCUGGUGCCAGCAGCCGCGGUAAUUCCAGCUCCAAUAGC
rnacentral:rRNA from 1 species